rnacentral:rRNA from 1 species
UACGUAGGGACCAAGCGUUGUUCGGAUUUACUGGGCGUAAAGGGCGCGUAGGCGGCAAUUCAAGUCAUCUGUGAAAUCUCCGGGCUUAACUCGGAACGGUCAGAUGAUACUGCUUUGCUAGAGUGCGGAAGGGGCAAUCGGAAUUCUUGGUGUAGCGGUGAAAUGCGUAGAUAUCAAGAGGAACACCUGAGGUGAAGACGGGUUGCUGGGCCGACACUGACGCUGAUGCGCGAAAGCCAGGGGAGCAAACAGG